GACGAACGCUGGCGGCGUGCUUAACACAUGCAAGUCGAACGGAAAGGCCCUGCUUUUGUGGGGUGCUCGAGUGGCGAACGGGUGAGUAACACGUGAGUAACCUGCCCUUGACUUUGGGAUAACUUCAGGAAACUGGGGCUAAUACCGGAUAGGAGCUCCUGCUGCAUGGUGGGGGUUGGAGAGUGUUGGCGGUUGGGGCUGGUCUCGCGGCUUAUCAGCUUGUUGGGCGGGUAGUUGCUUACCAAGGCUUUGACGGGUAGCCGGCCUGAGAGCGUGACCGGCCACCAUGCGCCUACGAUACGCACCAGAAUCCUACGGGCGGCAGCAGUGGGGAGUCUUACGGAACGGGGGGGAGCGUGAUGUAGAGAUGUCCGGUGCGUGAUGCCGGCCUUCUGGUUGUAAACCAAUUUCGACUGUGCCGUGGCGUUAGUGACGGUACUGGGUCAGGAAGCCCCGGCUAACUACGUG
rnacentral:rRNA from 1 species